GAUGAACGCUGGCGGCGUGCCUAAUACAUGCAAGUCGAGCGAACAGACGAGGAGCUUGCUCCUCUGACGUUAGCGGCGGACGGGUGAGUAACACGCGGAUAACCUACCUAUAAGACUGGGAUAACUUCGGGAAACCGGAGCUAAUACCGGAUAAUAUAUUGAACCGCAUGGUUCAAUAGUGAAAGACGGUUUUGCUGUCACUUAUAGAUGGAUCCGCGCCGCAUUAGCUAGUUGGUAAGGUAACGGCUUACCAAGGCAACGAUGCGUAGCCGACCUGAGAGGGUGAUCGGCCACACUGGAACUGAGACACGGUCCAGACUCCUACGGGAGGCAGCAGUAGGGAAUCUUCCGCAAUGGGCGAAAGCCUGACGGAGCAACGCCGCGUGAGUGAUGAAGGUCUUCGGAUCGUAAAACUCUGUUAUUAGGGAAGAACAAAUGUGUAAGUAACUAUGCACGCCUUGACGGUACCUAAUCAGAAAGCCACGGCUAACUACGUG
rnacentral:rRNA from 1 species